UCUAAGGAUGAAUGAAAGUAAAAUUUCAUUCUAAAUAAUAUACAUCGGUAAUGUUGACCGUCCUCAUUUCUCUUCUUAAAGUAAUGUUUCCUUCUUGUAGGGCCGGUAGCUCAGUUGGUUAGAGCACACCCUUGAUAAGGGUGGGGUCGAAAGUUCGAGUCUUUCUCGGCCCACCACACUUAACUCUGGGGGAUUAGCUCAGCUGGGAGAGCGCCUGAUUUGCAUUCAGGAGGUCAGCGGUUCGAUCCCGCUAUCCUCCACCAAGAAACACUUAGUUAUUUAAUUUGUGAAUAAAUUUUUAAUAUUAUCAAUAUCUAUAUCCGAUUGUUCGAAUAGAUGAACAAUCAAAGAAUGUUCGAAUAGAUGAACAUUCCAACAAAAUUUGAUUCUACACAGAAUUUUUUUCUGUGCAUAAAU
rnacentral:tRNA from 1 species